CGCAGUCACUCAGGAGAUCACCUUCCCAAUUGCAUUUUAGAAGGGUGUGGCAGAUUCAAGAUGCAGAAGGGAGGAGAGAAGGAAGGAGGUGAAGGAGACGGCACAGGCAGAGGUACAGAGUGGUGACUGAAACCACACGCCAUGUUGGGAGACUUCCAAACAAGUCUAGAGAGUUGGCACUUAGGGAUGAAGAAAUCAUCUUCUGGGUACACUUGGUCUUUCCUGAUGAAGCUUUUAAGAGAAAAGCAGAGUUGACCCUGGGCUUUCAAAAAACUCUUCUUUCAGGCAAAACCUCAGAGAGAACUGGCUGCUAGUGAUCCUCUGCAGAGACCUUGAAGAGCACGGCAAUUAUGAAACUUCAACAAGAAAAGAUUUAAGCUGAUCUUUAAAAAAAAUAUACUGUCAGGAAUUUUGUAGAAAUGACUUUAAUGUAAUAACUGCUUCUUUGACUUAUGUUUUGUCUGGUGGUGAAAAGAAAAAUAUUUAUAAAAGCAUGCCUGUGUCCUAAAAUUGGGGACACAAACUUAAAUGACUGAAGGCACUUAAGGAGUGGAGGCAAGGAUGGUGAAACCAGGCCCUGUACCAAGCAGGAGAGCGUGAACCUGCUAAAGAGAGUG
rnacentral:lncRNA from 1 species